rnacentral:rRNA from 1 species
AACAAACGCUGGCGGCGUGCCUAAUACAUGCAAGUCGAACGGGGAAAGCUUUCGGGUGAGUACUAGUGGCGCACGGGUGAGGAACGCGUGGAUAAUCUGCCUUAGAGUGGGGGAUAACUAGUCGCAAGAUUAGCUAAUACCGCAUAAGACCACGAGAGCUGCGGCUUUUGGGGUCAAAGGUUUUUCGCUCUAAGAUGAGUCCGCGUAAGAUUAGCUAGUUGGUGAGGUAACGGCUCACCAAGGCGACGAUCUUUAACUGGUCUGAGAGGAUGAUCAGUCACACUGGAACUGAGACACGGUCCAGACUCCUACGGGAGGCAGCAGUAGGGAAUAUUGCACAAUGGAGGAAACUCUGAUGCAGCGACGCCGCGUGAGUGAUGAAGGCCUUCGGGUCGUAAAGCUCUGUCGCAGGGGAAUAACACAAUGAAGGUACCCUGUAAGAAAGGAUCGGCUAACUUCGUG